GACGAACGCUGGCGGCGUGCUUAACACAUGCAAGUCGAACGGAAAGGCCCUGCUUUUGUGGGGUGCUCAAGUGGCGAACGGGUGAGUAACACGUGAGUAACCUGCCCUUGACUUUGGGAUAACUUCAGGACACUGGGGCUAAUACCGGAUAGGAGCUCCUGCUGCAUGGUGGGGGUUGGAAAGUUUCGGCGGUUGGGGAUGGAAUCGCGGCUUAUCAGCUUGUUGGUGGGGUAGUGGCUUACCAAGGCGUUGACGGGUAGCCGGACUGGGAGGGUGACCGGCCACAUUGUGACUGGGAUGCGGCCCAGACUCAUACGGGAGGCAGCAGUGGGGAAUAUUGCACGAUGGGCGGAAGCCGGAUGCAGCAACGCCGCGUGCGGGAUGACGGCCUUCGGGUUGGAAACCGCUUUCGCCUGUGACGAAGCGUGAGUGACGGUAAUGGGUAAAGAAGCACCGGCUAACUACGUG
rnacentral:rRNA from 1 species